AAGGAUUUAAGUUAAAUUUAAACUAAUAACCUUCAAAGUUGGAAAUAGAUAAUGUCUAAGCCUUA
rnacentral:tRNA from 1 species